rnacentral:rRNA from 1 species
GGAGGGGGGGCAAACGUUGCUCGGAAUUACUGGGCGUAAAGGGCGCGUAGGCGGACAAUCAAGUCAGAGGGUGAAAGCCCCCGGGGCUCAACCUGGGAACUGCCUUUGAAACUGAUGGUCUAGAGUCCCGAGAGAGGAUGGCGGAAUUCCCAGUGUAGAGGUGAAAUUCGUAGAUAUUGGGAAGAACACCAGUGGCGAAGGCGGCCAUCUGGCUCGGUACUGACGCUGAGGCGCGAAAGCGUGGGGAGCAAACAGGAUUAGAUACCCUGGUAGUCCACGCCGUAAACGAUGUGUGCUAGCCGUUGGGAAACCUAGUUUCUCAGUGGCGCAGCUAACGCAUUAAGCACACCGCCUGGGGAGUACGGUCGCAAAGAUUA